rnacentral:lncRNA from 1 species
AAACCCCUUUUUCUUCUCUAGUUCCUCAAAUCUUUAACAAAUUGAAGGUGUUUCUGGGUAUAAAUCGAAUGCAUGUGACCAAAUUCUCAACCAUCUAAGGGUUUCCUACAUAGGGGAAAAUGUUGAGUGAAAGAAGAAGGAGCUAAUUCCGGUUCGCAACAAAAGGCUCAAGAACCAGGUAAGUUCGAUUUACUUACAAGUUUAUGUAAUGUUAAUAGUUGUUCAAUUAUCAUUACAAAUCCAUGUUUAUUGCUAGUCUUAAAACCCAUUAGUUUCUAGUUGAAUUUAUAGAAGGUAUGUUAUCAUGCAUACUAACUCCUAUUAGUAAAUUGUUCAUGCCAAAACCAUAUUUGAUAUUUGUGUUAGUUCAAUAGCAAAUGGUAAAAUCCGUUUGAAUGAUUUACAUGAACCGUAGAAUUGUAGAAUAUAUGUUAUGACCGGUUCUUUAUGGGAUAACCGGGUAAUGAGAAAGUAAGCCUAAAAGGAAAAGAAUUUGUUCGUUGUAAACGAACCGAAGGAAAGUUUGAUCAUGAAUGAUAUUAUCCGUUAUUAACGGAUAAUUUACGAAUGAAAGGAAUUUAACUCGAUCCGUUAUUCACGGGUUAGAGUAUAUGUAAAUGUUAUGUACGAAUGAAAGUGUCCGUCCCAACGGGACAAGUAUGUCUUGAUAUAUUUCAAGUUUUGAAGUUGUAUGCUUUGACCCGUUUCAUGGGGUGAGAUAAUGCGUGUAUAUGAUGAAUGCAUGAAUGGGAUUAAAGUUGUAAUAUAAGUUUAGAAGUGAUGUGCUAAUGAGUUUUAAACUUGAUGUUUGAUGUAGGUAAAUCCUUGACUUCAUAGCUUGGCGACUCAGAACGAACACACUCGAUAUCACGCCCAUCAAGCGCUUCCGACGAUGUCACAUUAGUAUGGCCUUAGUUUUGGUCAUAUGUAUUUUAACAUAUGCAAUCUUUUUGGUGUCCUUGUGAAUUGGGUAAAAACUUGGUUAGUAAGUAGCUAUUGUAUUAAAACAACUUAAACAUGUUGGUUUUGCUUUAGUUUAUGAAAAUGGGUCUUUUAAGUUAAGCGUCUUAUUAUUAAGCAGGAAAUUAUCUAUGUUACGAAUGGGUCAUGCCCAAUUUUUGUAAAAAAUUCAUAUGUUUUUAUAGUCUUUUAAAAAGGGUAUGGAUUAGGGCAUUAUAAGUUGGUAUCAGAGCAUAGGUUUGAGGGAUUCAAGUGCAAGUAUUAGUGCUUGAACUCAAACAGAUAGCUCGCGCGAUGGUGUGUUCGUUCCAAGGCCGCAAGAAAGGUAAAUAUUUAAAUUUCUAUAAGUUAAGUAGGAAUAAUGUGAGGUUAAUAUGAAAUUAUAAAGUGGUAUGUGGGGCUGAAAAAGUGGGAGGAUUAAAACGGAGGGUUGGGAGCUCGUAUAACUAAAAUCGGACUUGGGAAAUGGACAAACGACUAAACAAAGAGCUGCAGCAAAACAACCGCAGGAAGGCCCGUCGCCAACGCCGGCUUGGCCCGUCGCCGACGCAGCUACCCCUGCCGACGGCCUAAUUCCCUGUCGACGCCACGAAUUACCCGACGCCAUUUUUAAAGCCCCGUCGCCGACGGCAUGUAGGGGCGUCGCCGACGGCUUGAGCUACACCAAUUCGCUGAAAUUUUUAUUUUUCAUAAUUUAAGUUCCCCUACUUCUCCGAAAACCCGUUUUAUGUUCUUGUCAAGUUAUUAGGAGAUAUAAUAAGUUAUGUAAAGUUAUGUAGAUCGUUGGUGAUGAAGUAAAAUUUAUAAAAGUUGAAUGUAAUGUAUGGAAUGGCAUGAAAUGAAAUGAAUGACGGAUGUAUAAAGUGGAGUUGGAAACGUAUGAUAAUGAAUAAUGAAAGAAGUAAAUGUAGACUAAAGUACUUGGAUAUGUGAAGGAACCUGAAUUGUUAAUAAAUGAAUAUAAAAAUGAUGAGAUUAGUGGUGAAAUUAAUUUGAAGAAUAUGAGUUAGAUGGAAUUCAUAUGAGAAUUCGAAUAAAAAUAUGCUUAAUCAGAAUUAUGCAUUAGAGGCUUGUACCUUGUACUUGAAUGGUGUGAUGCUUAUGUGUAUUUAAUGAUUUGUCUUGUUAUGAUUAAGAGGCGAAUAUGUGCUAAAUGCGAAUCAUACGAGCUUAUUAGUAAAGGAUAUGUUGGAAUUAUGUUAUAUAGUUAACUUGAAUGAUAUUUACUAUUUGUAGAAUCAUGAAGCAUUAGCAUGUGAAAGUACGUGAAAGUGAAUGUAUAUAUGUGUAUUGUUUGGAGGAUUACGUAAAUUAUAUAUAUAUCAUACAAUAUGAGUAUGAAAUACGUAGAAUAUUAAUAUUAUGGCCUAUCAUAUUUAGAUGAUUACAUGUUCAAAGGUUUAAAAGUAUGUAAGCAAGACAGUUGACUAUCUAAAAGUCAACAGUAUAGGGAUAUCAUGGAAUGGCCAUUAGACACAAAUGUUAAAGUAAAGAGUUAAUGUGUUAUGUAUAGUGAUUUACAUGUUAUGCUUGAUGAUAGUUUAGUCGUAUGGAAUGGAAAUGAGAUAACCAUUAAUAAAAGUCUCACUCAUACGAAAUUUGAUUAACGAAAGUCAAUUAACGGAUGAAUAGAAAGAAAGUGAAUAGUUGUAUGUAUGCUCACAUAAGUUAACAAUGUUACGAAUGUAAUAAUAUGUAAAGAUGGAAAUCUUGUCAAUUGACUCAAGCAUGGUUGGCAUAAUGUUAAACCAGUAAGACCUCAUUAUAAGGGUAAACCGGUCAUAAAUUCUAGUUGAGAAGUUUUAAGGCGGAAAUGAGAACUUGGUAAUGUUAAUGAAAGGUAUGGAAAGAAUAUUAGUUGAGAUGUUAGCUAAAGACAUUUUGUAAAUAUGUUCGAAUUGAAAGUAAGUACAACGCGUACUACAAUACUCAUAUACAAUAAGUACUAAGUGUGAUUAACUUUAAAAUGUCAAAACGUAGAAGUCAGUAAAUAAUAAUUAUUUACAAAUUUUGGAAAUAUUACGUGAGAAAUGCAACGUGUAAUGUAGGAUGCUCAUUAGUAAGAGACAUGCUAGAGAACGUAGGUGAAUUAACACCAAAUAUGGUGAACGAACAAAUGGAAAUGGUAUAUUAAGGGAUGGUCAUGUAUUGACCGAAGCUCGAGAAAAACACGAGAAUUAUCUCACUUAUGUUCGGUCAAGCUAGCAAAAAGGGGUCUAACGAUUCUUAAAGGAUCAGAUC